GAUGAACGCUGGCGGCGUGCCUAAUACAUGCAAGUCGAGCGAACAGACGAGGAGCUUGCUCCUCUGACGUUAGCGGCGGACGGGUGAGUAACACGUGGAUAACCUACCUAUAAGACUGGGAUAACUUCGGGAAACCGGAGCUAAUACCGGAUAAUAUAUUGAACCGCAUGGUUCAAUAGUGAAAGACGGUUUUGCUGUCACUUAUAGAUGGAUCCGCGCCGCAUUAGCUAGUUGGUAAGGUAACGGCUUACCAAGGCAACGAUGCGUAGCCGACCUGAGAGGGUGAUCGGCCACACUGGAACUGAGACACGGUCCAGACUCCUACGGGAGGCAGCAAUAGGGAAUCUUCCGCAAUGGGCGAAAGCCUGACGGAGCAACGCCGCGUGAGUGAUGAAGGUCUUCGGAUCGUAAAACUCUGUUAUUAGGGAAGAACAAAUGUGUAAGUAACUAUGCACGUCUUGACGGUACCUAAUCAGAAAGCCACGGCUAACUACGU
rnacentral:rRNA from 1 species